UAAAACCCUUUUAAUAAUGUUAAUAAACAUAAGAUAAAAUAAAGUGAUAAUAGAAUACAUAGAGUGCGUACUUCAGUGGUGGUAGAUUGAGACUUAAUAAGCGAAAACUAAGUAUUUCACCAUGUGUAACAUAAGAUGGAAGAUAAAAACCACAAUAAAAGAUCACAUCCGAGUUAAAAGAAAAGCAAAAAAUUACAAUUCAGUCACUAAAAUGUCAGUGUGUAAAAAUACGAUUGAAGACAACUUAAAAGAAAGUCCUGAUCUCAGAAAGGUCAUUUCAGAGACUGGGAAAGAUGGAGAAGCACCUUUUUUCUUCAUCUUACACUGAAAAUAGCAAAUGUCACCAGAAUAUGUCAGCACUGGCUCACACAGUUGAUAGUUAAAAUGUCAGUCUGCAGCUUGGGUCUGGCUUUAAAAGUGAUCAAUCUUUUAACUCUAUCCUGAUUAUGGGCAUCAAUUGGUAUCGAGAAGAAAGGAUGUCUGUAUUUGGCCAUCAGACAGUUAAGAGAGAAGUUUUAAAGAUUUAAACUAUAGUAUUUGGAAGUAACCUAACAAUUGUGUAGCCGCACGUCUUCUGCAUCAUGGUGGAGGAGGUCUGGGGAAAAUCUUCUUCAAAAAAUCAUGAUAAUAAGACAUUUGGCAAUCCUGAGGCUGUCAAUCUCUUAACUGUGAAUUCGAAAAUUCCUCUUUAGUUGGGUUUUGCUUGGGUAAAAGUGACUUUCGUGUAAUGUAAUUUUAUGAGUUUGAAAUGUAACAUUGGUCAGUCACUUCACUUCCCUUUUCUAACAGAUUUUUAUUCUUGCAUUUCUCCAAACCUCUGUCAAGUUGUUGAAAAAGGAGGUUUGGCUAUGGGAGAUACUACAUACAGCUUCAAAGUUAGCGUGGUUAAUUUUAAUCCAGUUUUGACUGAAAAUUAAGAUUUUAUAGAUAUUUAAACAAAACAUUUACUAAAUAUGUACUUCAUACAUUAGAUAAAAUGCAAAAUAGAUGUCAACAGAUAAGGUAAAUGGAUCUCAGUCCACAGUAUAAAACUAGAACUGUAUAAUCACUGUUUGUAAGGUCAGUAGCUCACCAGUAGCUAACCAUGAACCUACUUAAAACAGUUACUGCAUCAUAACUGUUUUCGUUGCAUUCACAGUCUUUUUACCAGGAAAUAAUGUGCUGAAUAUCUGAGCUCCAACACUAAGAGCCGCUGCUUUGAGAGCAUUGAAUAGCUGAUGUGGUGAUGACAGAAGCUGUGCGUACAGACAAUAGCUUGAUAAGGACAUCCAGCCUUGUGGGGGGCUACCUGGGUACAGGUGUUUCUCUCCUCCGCCAGAUGAAUUAAAACACAAGGCUGACCAACCCUGGGAGGACGAAGUGUCAGACAGGAGCAGAGCAGGUUUCGCCCUAAUGAUGAUGCUGAUGAGGAAUGCUGGGUGAAGUGCAACAGGCCAGAUGGGGUGUAAGGAGAUGAAAGGAAGGGAGAAGAGUGUUGAAGGCUGCUGGUCUGAACUUUCAUCUCUUCCUCUCAACUGUCUCUCUCUGCUGCUCUUUCAUCUGAGCAUUUUGUCUUGAGCUCCCCCAGAGAAAACGCCUUCCUCUCUUUCCUCUGGUUCCCUCCUCUGAUUCAGUACACUUAUUCACUACGCAACAUAACUCUACUGAAAAACACUUCAUUUCUUUGCAUGUAUCAUUAAUUAACUGUCAUGUAGCAGUGUUUGAACCAACCUCAGCCAUGGGUUUUUCUUAAAUACAUACAUUUUAAUAUCCCUUUAACAGUGUUGCAAAAGUAGUCAUUCUAAGCAUAUAUUUAUUUAAUUAUUUGCAAAAAUUGCUUUUAUGAAUUUGAGCCCCAACCCCUCUGACGUCAUCUACACGUCCCUCGUUUGUAAGUACGACAAGAAGGAGACUUUAGCAGGAAAGCUAAUGUGGGUUGUUGUUCAGAGUCUGACUCUUGUGUUGUGUAGCAGGAUGCAAUCAGGCUCAGUGUGACCAUCUGCGCUGCCCGUGAUAAAACACUGAUGAUAGAUCAAGCUGUAUGGAAACACAUUCUCCAUCUACUUAGAUGGGGAACUAAAGGUAUUCUGAUGAAUAAAUGCAAAGAUAGGGGGUGACAUCAUGAAACCGAAAAUAUAUGAUAUAUAAGAUAUGUGUUUCUCCCUUUUUGGUUUAUAGAGCAGAUAUGUAUGUAUGGUAUAUGCUGUUGUUACAGACAAAUAAAGCUGUUUAUUUUCA